CAGGGAGCGCUGGGGGCGUCGGGCGGGAGGUGGGGCGUCUGCGCCGCGGGGCUCUGGGCUUCAGGACUGAGAAACAAAAGGCAGGAAUCCCGCCUCUUCCUGCUGCUUCCCGCGCUCCGGGGCCGCUCCCGCCGGCCGUGCCCCUCUGCCCGCAUCGGACCCACAGUUUCUAGGGGCGUACUGAUGACCUCAGUGUCGGGUGCGAUGAUCCCUGAGAGCUGAUAUUUGGGACAGUGGGCGGCUCAAAAAAGGCGAUAACUCAAUUUCUGAGGGGAGCAGGGCAGUCAACAAUGCUAUAGAGCCAGGAUCAAUAUGUCUGACCCCAGAAUGGCAUAGUUUUACAGGCGACCCCACUGCUGCCCAGGCCUGCCUCUCAACAUCUGUUAUGCUAGAGCCAAAGAGAGGACUUUCUACUUCAGCUACCAGAAGAGCUGCUGUCCCUGACCAUGGCUAUCACCUCAUGUUACUCAUAUGCCUUUUAAAUCAGAGAAUGUAUCUUCCACCAGGGCUUGGUGGAAAUGUAGUUACAUGUAGAACCCAAGCUGCAAGGGAGUCUGGGAAUGUUUAACUUUCUAGCCUCUGAGGGGCAGAAACCUGUCAGAAGAAUGAGCAGGUGUUAAGGGAGUGCCUGUGCAGUGGCUGCCACAUUGUGUUACAUUGCUGAGUGCAAAUGUGGGGGGUGGGGGGUGGCAAUGUAUUCACAC